AUACGUAGGUGCCAAGCGUUAUCCGGAUUUACUGGGCGUAAAGGGCGUGUAGGCGGUCUUGCAAGUCAGAAGUGAAAUUCCUGAGCUCAACUCGGGCGCUGCUUCUGAAACUGCAGGACUUGAGUGCUGGAGGGGAUAGCGGAAUUCCUAGUGGAGCGGUAAAAUGCGCAGAUAUUAGGAAGAACACCGGUGGCGAAGGCGGCUAUCUGGACAGUAACUGACGCUGAGGCGCGAAAGCGUGGGGAGCAAACAGGAUUAGAUACCCUGGUAGUCCACUCUGUAAACGAUGAUUACUAGGUGUGGGGGGACUGACCCCUUCCGUGCCGCAGUUAACACAAUAAGUAAUCCACCUGGGGAGUACGGCCGCAAGGUUGAAACUCAAAUGAAUUGGCGGGG
rnacentral:rRNA from 1 species